rnacentral:lncRNA from 1 species
AAACAAGUGAAACUGCGAGCUACUGCUCACUGAUGAUACCCCCCGCCGCAAGUGGAUAAUAUUAAUAGUGUAAAAAUAUGCAAGUGUUCGGUAAACAGGAAGUUGUCGAGUGAUGAAUCUGAAAACGCAUCACACGGUAUAGCUGACUUAUAAAAAUCCUGAAACCAAAUUUCAGAAAUCCUUGUAUUGUAGUUCCUGAGAAAAAUAUGACGAAAAUUUUUAACUUGGUUAUCAUGUGUAAAAUCAUACAAGUGUCGGUAAACAGGAAGUUGUCGAGUGAUGAAUCUGAAAACGCAUCACAACGGUAUAGCUGACUUAUAUAAAUCCUGAAACCAAAUUUCAGAAUCCUUGUAUUGUAGUUCCCUGAGAAAAAUGUGACGAAAAUUUUCAACUUGGCUAUCAUGUGUAAAAUCAUACAAGUGUUCGGUAAACAAGAAGUUGUCGAGUGAUGAAUCUGAAAACGCAUCACACGGUAUAGCUGACUUAUAUAAAUCCUGAAACCAAAUGUCAGAAAUCCUUGUAUUGUAGUUCCUGAGAAAAAUGUGACGAAAAUUUUCAACUUGGCUGUCAUGUGUAAAAUCAGACAAGUGUUCGGUAAACAGGAAGUUGUCAAGUGAUGAAUCUGUAAACGCAUCACACGGUAUGGCUGACAUAUAUAAAUGUUGAUACCAAAUUACAGAAAGGGUGGAUGUGUAGUUCCUGAGAAAAAUGUGACGAAAGUUUCAUGGGACGGACUGACUGACGGACUGACAGACAGAGGUAAAAC